ensembl:lncRNA
GGAUGACUCCCCUUUCCCGGGCUGUAGAACUGGGUGUCCGGUGCUAGGAUACUUUCUUUCUCUUAUUCUGCAGUUGCCUCAGGUCUUUGGAUUUUACAAAGUUUCCAUUUCCCUGCUGUUGAAUUUCACUGUUCUGCCAUCAUUCACCUCAACAUGAACCUAUAUACCUGUUGCCUUGGUUCUUCUUUUUGGAAGAGUAGAAGUGUCAUAUUUUGUCUAAUGUAUUUUAAGCUCUGCUCCCACACAUGCUCCCAGCACUGCCUCCUCUGUGACAUGUUGCAAGCAGGAGGGCCCACGUUGGAACUGAGCACGUGCCAGCACAAUGCCCUUCAAGUUCCAAACUGUGAGCUAAAUAACUGUCUUUUAUUUAUGAAGCUAGUCUGCCUCAGGUAUUUCACUGUAAUAAUGCAAAACUAACACAUGUUGCUUUCAAGAUUUCC